rnacentral:rRNA from 1 species
CCCUUAGAUGUCCUGGGCUGCACGCGCGCUACACUGACGAACCCAACGAGCUUAUCACCUUGGCAGAGAUGUCUGGGUAAUCUUUUGAAAGUUCGUCGUGCUGGGGAUAGAUGAUUGUAAUUAUUCGUCUUGAACGAGGAAUUCCUAGUAAGUGUGAGUCAUCAGCUCGCGCUGAUUACGUCCCUGCCCUUUGUACACACCGCCCGUCGCUCCUACCGAUUGAAUGGUCCGGUGAGGUUCUCGGAUUUUUUCUGUUGUUUGGUUCGCUAAACGAUUGAAGAGAGAAGUUACCCAAACCUUACCAUUUAGAGGAAGGAGAAGUCGUAACA